ensembl:lncRNA
UGGAAAACUCUGAUAAGGUUCUUUAUCACUCCAUGUCAAAAGGCUCACUAUGAUGGGAAUCCUCCCGUGUGCUGGCGAAACUGUGGAUACCAAGGAGCCCAUCACACCCAUAUUAUGUGGGACUGUCCUGUGCUACGGACUUACUGGAAAGACAUUCAUGGUAUAUUACAAGGCAUUUUUAACUGUACAUUCCCUCAGGAUAUGAAGACAAUUUUUUUUGGCUGUAUACCGCAGAACUGGUCCAAAAGUGACAUAUGUCUGUUAAGAGCUUUAUUGGUUGCAAGUAAGAAAUGUAUAACAAAGAAAUGGUCCUCGCAAGACAUACCGACUUUGUCAUUAUGGUGGGAAAUUACGUUAGAGAUAUAUAGGAUGGAGGAAGUAACAGCUCAUGUUAAUGACAGGAUGGCCUGGUUCCAUCUGUGCUGGGAUAAGUGGGUCCAAUACGUUAAUACCUAUAAACCGAAUUUUCUCUUUAAAGCUUGAAACCACCAAUUUAGUUAAUUGUUUACUCCAGACAGAGCUUUCUCCUUUUAUUUUAUAUAUAUAUAUUUUUUUUUUCCUUUUUUUUUUUUUCUUUCUCUUUCUUUCUAUCUGUCUUUCUUCUCGUUUUGUUUUGUUUUUCUCUUGUAAACUGUGUUAAUUAAUGCCUGUAAUCAUCUUUAUGAGGUAAUAUUGUAGAAAUAAAGAAUAUAAAAAAUAAAAAAAAAGGAAGUGACAGCAGGGCCCUGUGCUUCGUACGUCGCUUACUACAUCCAAGAUCAAAUGACACAUCCAAGACCAAAUCAUCGCGCUAACUCUGAGCUCGCUAUUCCGGUUCCCCGAACACACCUGUUGUUGACGAUUAGUAUAGCUGGAUGAAGUAAUGUGAGAUCACUGGGUGGCCCAACAGGGGCUACGCAUCGAUAGUAGAAACAUUGAUCGGCAACCCUUUGAUUGGUCGGUGAAAAUGUCGAAGGAGCGCGCUCGGUAUUUUUCGGCAGCAGAGCAAGAACUCUUGAGUGAGGGAUUUCAG